UCAAUUUAUCAGUCAAGUCAAAAUUUUCCUUUUUUUCAAUAAUCAAUGAAAAAAUCAUAUCCGACCUUUCACCCUUUUUUGUGAAAGUUCAAUUAUUUGAACAUUUACUCCAGAUAAUGGAAGAAAAUAACGAAAGACGACAGGAAACAUCUUGAUUGCUUUGCGAUUGGAAGCGGGUUUUCUGUAAAUCAGACUUGAGGCAUUCCAGGGCGUAUGUUGCAAAAACAUUGGUUAUUUCAUUUGGAAACAGAUUCAAAUCUGGUUUCUCUCCGAUGAAAAAAUCUGAUAUGAUUGAAGUUUGAAGAGACUACAUUUGUCGCAACGGACGUUAGAAUCGAUAUAAGGGAAAAGGAUAUUUUUUCUUCAAAUUAUCGUUGAAAACACACUUUCGUUUCAACAUUUCACAAGUAAUGAGCUGUUAGUGAACAACGCUGACGUUCGCGCCAAAAUCUACUACAAAAUUCAAUAUAUUCAAACCGU